rnacentral:rRNA from 1 species
CCUACGGGAGGCAGCAGUGAGGAAUAUUGGUCAAUGGGCGCGAGCCUGAACCAGCCAAGUAGCGUGAAGGAUGACUGCCCUACGGGUUGUAAACUUCUUUUAUAAAGGAAUAAAGUGCGGCACGUGUGCCUUUUUGUAUGUACCUUAUGAAUAAGGAUCGGCUAACUCCGUGCCAGCAGCCGCGGUAAUACGGUGGAUCCGAGCGUUAUCCGGAUUUAUUGGGUUUAAAGGGUGCGUAGAUGGGUUGUUAAGUCAGUUGUGAAAGUUUGCGGCUCAACCGUAAAAUUGCAAUUGAUACUGGCAGCCUUGAGUGCAGUAGAGGUAGGCGGAAUUCGUGGUGUAGCGGUGAAAUGCUUAGAUAUCACGAAGAACACCGAUUGCGAAGGCAGCAUACCG